rnacentral:rRNA from 1 species
AGCGUACACGGUGGAUGCCCUGGCAGUCAGAGGCGAUGAAGGACGUGCUAAUCUGCGAUAAGCGUCGGUAAGGUGAUAUGAACCGUUAUAACCGGCGAUUUCCGAAUGGGGAAACCCAGUGUGUUUCGACACACUAUCAUUAACUGAAUCCAUAGGUUAAUGAGGCGAACCGGGGGAACUGAAACAUCUAAGUACCCUGAGGAAAAGAAAUCAACCGAGAUUCCCCCAGUAGCGGCGAGCGAACGGGGAGCAGCCCAGAGCCUGAAUCAGUAUGUGUGUUAGUGGAAGCGUCUGGAAAGGCGCGCGAUACAGGGUGACAGCCCCGUACACAAAAAUGCACAUGCUGUGAGCUCGAUGAGUAGGGCGGGACACGUGGUAUCCUGUCUGAAUAUGGGGGGACCAUCCUCCAAGGCUAAAUACUCCUGACUGACCGAUAGUGAACCAGUACCGUGAGGGAAAGGCGAAAAGAACCCCGGCGAGGGGAGUGAAAAAGAACCUGAAACCGUGUACGUACAAGCAGUGGGAGCACGCUUAGGCGUGUGACUGCGUACCUUUUGUAUAAUGGGUCAGCGACUUAUAUUCUGUAGCAAGGUUAACCGAAUAGGGGAGCCGAAGGGAAACCGAGUCUUAACUGGGCGUUAAGUUGCAGGGUAUAGACCCGAAACCCGGUGAUCUAGCCAUGGGCAGGUUGAAGGUUGGGUAACACUAACUGGAGGACCGAACCGACUAAUGUUGAAAAAUUAGCGGAUGACUUGUGGCUGGGGGUGAAAGGCCAAUCAAACCGGGAGAUAGCUGGUUCUCCCCGAAAGCUAUUUAGGUAGCGCCUCGUGAAUUCAUCUCCGGGGGUAGAGCACUGUUUCGGCAAGGGGGUCAUCCCGACUUACCAACCCGAUGCAAACUGCGAAUACCGGAGAAUGUUAUCACGGGAGACACACGGCGGGUGCUAACGUCCGUCGUGAAGAGGGAAACAACCCAGACCGCCAGCUAAGGUCCCAAAGUCAUGGUUAAGUGGGAAACGAUGUGGGAAGGCCCAGACAGCCAGGAUGUUGGCUUAGAAGCAGCCAUCAUUUAAAGAAAGCGUAAUAGCUCACUGGUCGAGUCGGCCUGCGCGGAAGAUGUAACGGGGCUAAACCAUGCAC